CUGAAAUUUAGAGAGGAAAAGGAGAGGAAAAUUCUUCAUCUUCCACCUUGAGCCAACAACUUCCAUAGCUAAUUUAUUCACAAGAUCAUCAUCUAUUCGGGAUUUUGGCGAAAGAAUUGAGUAAAGGAGAGGAUUUAGCUAUUGAUGUUUAAAGGAUUUGAAGGAAAAUCUAGCCUCUCAAGUUUCUUAUCAAGUGGCUAGAAUCCCAUUAAGUGUUGAUGAGAGUUUUGGUCUUCAAGGGUGAACAUGAAUAGGAUGGAAGUUAAGGUUGAGAUCUACUCUAUCCUAGAAUAGACACCUUGGAAGUUUUAGCAUUUUGAGAAAAUACCCGGUUGUAUUAAUUACUUCCUUAUGUAUUGAGUUAGACUUUGGAUCGUUAUUUGAUGUUGUAAGUUUAGCCUUAGCGUUUUGGUAUAGGAAAGAUACCUAAGCGUGGCGGUAACACCCAUUUUCUGUUGGUUAGAUGUAUAAGC